rnacentral:rRNA from 1 species
UACGGAGGGUGCAAGCGUUAUCCGGAUUCACUGGGUUUAAAGGGUGCGUAGGUGGGCAGGUAAGUCAGUGGUGAAAUCUCCGGGCUUAACCCGGAAACUGCCAUUGAUACUAUCAGUCUUGAAUACCGUGGAGGUAAGCGGAAUAUGUCAUGUAGCGGUGAAAUGAUUAGAUAUGACAUAGAACACCAAUUGCGAAGGCAGCUUACUACCCGAAUAUUGACACUGAGGCACGAAAGCGUGGGGAUCAAACAGG